rnacentral:lncRNA from 1 species
AAAUUUCUGGUUCACCUGUACCCUUGAAAUCAAUGAUUUUUUUUUUUAUCACUCAAAUAAAGAAUCCACUUUGGUUGAGGUAUUUUCCCCUUUAGAAAGUGCUUAAUAUAUAUGAUAAAGAAUUCUUCCCACAAAAAGCAUACUUAAAAUCUGUUGUACCUUUUUUAUACUUAAAUUAUCUUUCCAAGUAUCAGGGGCGGAUCCAGCCAUUUUAAAAAGGGGGGUUCCUAACUCAGGACAAAGGGGGGUUCCAAUCACAUGUCCCCAUUCAAAUGCAUUGAUCGUCCAAAAAAAGAGGGGUUCCAACCCCCGGAACCCCCCUCUGGAUCCGCGCCUGAGUAUUUAUACCAUAUUACCACAUAUACAAACCAUUGUUUAUAUAAAUAUAAAAUAAUCCAAAUACAAAAUGUUUUCCCACAAAU